rnacentral:rRNA from 1 species
AUUGAACGCUGGCGGCAGGCCUAACACAUGCAAGUCGAGCGGAUGAAGGGAGCUUGCUCCUGGAUUCAGCGGCGGACGGGUGAGUAAUGCCUAGGAAUCUGCCUGGUAUUUGGGGAUAACGUCCGGAAACGGGCGCUAAUACCGCAUACGUCCUGAGGGAGAAAGUGGGGGAUCUUCGGACCUCACGCUAUCAGAUGAGCCUAGGUCGGAUUAGCUAGUUGGUGGGGUAAAGGCCUACCAAGGCGACGAUCCGUAACUGGUCUGAGAGGAUGAUCAGUCACACUGGAACUGAGACACGGUCCAGACUCCUACGGGAGGCAGCAGUGGGGAAUAUUGGACAAUGGGCGAAAGCCUGAUCCAGCCAUGCCGCGUGUGUGAAGAAGGUCUUCGGAUUGUAAAGCACUUUAAGUUGGGAGGAAGGGCAGUAAGUUAAUACCUUGCUGUUUUGACGUUACCAACAGAAUAAGCACCGGCUAACUUCGUG